CAGCAAAGGCGCUCCAGGACGGCGUGUUCGACCUGGUCCAGAUUGGUAGCCCGUCCAGAAUGGAACAACCUGCUUCCUGCUCACAGAGACCUGGUCGGACCGUCAUAUACAAAAGCCUGAGGCUGUCAAAAAAAGAUUGAUCUUCAUGAAGACUGUCAAAUAGUAGGUGUCAUGAUUUAAUUCUGGGUGGCCGCCGUGUCCCCACUCUUUCUUGGCCGC